rnacentral:lncRNA from 1 species
CAGCAGUGUAGAGAAGAUCACUGGGCACCCAGUAAUGGCCGAGUUCAGGAGGACAGCUGCCUGCUAGUGGUCACACUUGUGAAGAAAGACGGUCUAUGGUCUAUUCAUAUAUUUAACAUUUUGGACCUUUCCUGCAAGCUAACACUCAGACCCCCAGAACCGCCAUUUGCUACUCUUUUCAAAUCAUUGACAAAAAAGACUGGUCUAGUCUCACUUUAUGUUUAUGAUCACUCUCUUUAAGGGCUCCGUUACGGUGCUGUUUGACAGAGCCUUGGCCAGGUCCACGCCCAUGCUCUCUGGGAGAGCUUCAUAGGUAGCACUCGCAGGUUCUCUGGGAAGGUUAAGGCCAUCUUCUUCCUACAAACACCCUGGCCUCCAUGUGCAAAUUGGCCUUCUCCUCUUUACAAGCCUAGCAGAGUGUGUAGGUAGCUUCUCCACUCAAACCCAAGGUCUCCUCAAAAUAGCCCUCCAAUCCUGGUCUGCUCAGCAUAUAUCUGCAUAUUAAAGAGAGCACACUAACAUCUGCUCUAAAUUGGCC